GGGNUGGCGGGUGCUACCAUGCAGUCGACGAUGAAGCCCAGCUUGCUGGGUGGAUUAGUGGCGAACGGGUGAGUAACACGUGAGCAACCUGCCCCUGACUCUGGGAUAAGCGCUGGAAACGGCGUCUAAUACUGGAUAUGUCCCGUCACCGCAUGGUGUGCGGGUGGAAAGAUUUUUCGGUUGGGGAUGGGCUCGCGGCCUAUCAGCUUGUUGGUGAGGUAAUGGCUCACCAAGGCGUCGACGGGUAGCCGGCCUGAGAGGGUGACCGGCCACACUGGGACUGAGACACGGCCCAGACUCCUACGGGAGGCAGCAGUGGGGAAUAUUGCACAAUGGGCGAAAGCCUGAUGCAGCAACGCCGCGUGAGGGAUGACGGCCUUCGGGUUGUAAACCUCUUUUAGCAGGGAAGAAGCGAAAGUGACGGUACCUGCAGAAAAAGCACCGGCUAACUACGUGCCAGCAGCCGCGGUAAUACGUAGGGUGCAAGCGUUAUCCGGAAUUAUUGGGCGUAAAGAGCUCGUAGGCGGUCUGUCGCGUCUGCUGUGAAAUCCCGAGGCUCAACCUCGGGCUUGCAGUGGGUACGGGCAGACUAGAGUGCGGUAGGGGAGAUUGGAAUUCCUGGUGUAGCGGUGGAAUGCGCAGAUAUCAGGAGGAACACCGAUGGCGAAGGCAGAUCUCUGGGCCGUAACUGACGCUGAGGAGCGAAAGGGUGGGGAGCAAACAGGCUUAGAUACCCUGGUAGUCCACCCCGUAAACGUUGGGAACUAGUUGUGGGGUCCUUUCCACGGAUUCCGUGACGCAGCUAACGCAUUAAGUUCCCCGCCUGGGGAGUACGGCCGCAAGGCUAAAACUCAAAGGAAUUGACGGGGACCCGCACAAGCGGCGGAGCAUGCGGAUUAAUUCGAUGCAACGCGAAGAACCUUACCAAGGCUUGACAUACACGAGAACGGGCCAGAAAUGGUCAACUCUUUGGACACUCGUGAACAGGUUGUGCAUGGUUGUCGUCAGCUCGUUGUCGUGAGAUGUUGGUUAAUUCCCGCAACGAGCGCGGCCUCGUUUCUAUUGUUGCCAGCACGUAAUGUGGGAACUCAUGGGAUAACUGCGGUCAACUCCGAGGAGGUGGGGGAUGACGUCAAAUCAUCAUGCCCCUUAUGUCUUGGGCUUCCGGCAUUGCUACAAAUGGGCCGNNCAAUGGCUGCGNUACGGUAAGGUCGGAGCAAUCUCAAAAGUCGGACCCAUNNNNNNUUGCAGAUCGUGCAUCUCUGACU
rnacentral:rRNA from 1 species